CGUAGGACCCGAGCGUUGUCCGGAUUCACUGGGUAUAAAGGGUGCGUAGGCGGUCUUGUGCGUCAGAGGUGAAAUAUCCGGGCUUAACCCGGAGGGUGCCUUUGAAACGGCGAGACUUGAGUGCGGGAGAGGAUGAUGGAAUUCCUGGUGUAGCGGUGAAAUGCGUAGAUAUCAGGAGGAACACCGGUGGCGAAGGCGGUCAUCUGGUCCGCUACUGACGCUGAGGCACGAAAGCGCGGGGAUCAAACAGGAUUAGAUACCCUGGUAGUCCGCGCCCUAAACGAUGCAUGCUUGGUGUUGGCCUUUUCGGAGGUCAGUGCCGGAGGGAAUCCGGUAAGCAUGCCACCUGGGGAGUACGAUCGCAAGGUUG
rnacentral:rRNA from 1 species